rnacentral:rRNA from 1 species
AUUGAACGCUGGCGGCAUGCCUUACACAUGCAAGUCGAACGGUAACAGGGAGCUUGCUCCGCUGACGAGUGGCGAACGGGUGAGUAAUGUAUCGGAACGUACCAUUCAGUGGGGGAUAACGUAGCGAAAGUUACGCUAAUACCGCAUAUUCUGUGAGCAGGAAAGCAGGGGAUCGCAAGACCUUGCGCUGAUUGAGCGGCCGAUAUCAGAUUAGCUAGUUGGUGAGGUAAAGGCUCACCAAGGCGACGAUCUGUAGCGGGUCUGAGAGGAUGAUCCGCCACACUGGAACUGAGACACGGUCCAGACUCCUACGGGAGGCAGCAGUGGGGAAUUUUGGACAAUGGGGGCAACCCUGAUCCAGCCAUGCCGCGUGAGGAAGAAGGCCUUCGGUUGUAACUACCUGUCCGAGGGACGAAGUAAGGUAGGACGGUACCGUUAGGGUAGGGAAAGGCCCCGGCCGUAACCUCCGUCGCCACGCAGCCGCGGUAAUAACGGUCUA